UGGUCAUAUCACUUUGCAACACCCAUUUCCGAACGGUCACUGAAGUUAAGCAACGUUGAACCGGGUCAGUACCUAGAUGGGUGACCGCUUGGGAAUGCUUGGA